UUUCAUAGUUUUUUAAACAAAAAAGGUGCUAAUGUUAAGUGAAAGAAAAAUCUUGAGAGAUUUAUUUCCCGCCAAAUUUUCAACGGCUUAUAUCUCGUAAACAAGCACACGGACCCUCCAUUUUUUUCUGCUUUUUUAUUUUCUUUAUUUAUAUACUUUUAAUUUAUAACAGUCUUUUAAAAAGCUUGUUAUUUUUAAACAGAGUAGCGAAC
rnacentral:lncRNA from 1 species